GUACUAACUAUAAUACAAUGAAACAAAGUUCCUGUAAGAACAAUAAAUAAGGAGCUUAAUAUAUCACUAGCAGGUGCAAGCUGCUUAAUCUGCUGAAAGACAUUGUGCUUUUGUGUGCUUGGAAGCCAGGCUCCAUCUUGCCUGACAUAACAAUUGUUUCAGAGCCUCAAGCCAUUAGCUCAUAAAGAACACAGAAAAUAAUGUUGUUAUUGUAGUACUACUAAUUUCAUCUCCAUAACAUUGCCUUGCUAAAUCAGAAAAAAAAAUGUUAAAAGAUGUAAAUUGUUCUUAAAAUCAAGGGGGAGAGCGUUUGUGUGGUUUUAUUGGUGUUGGGUUUUUUUACACAUUAUGGAUGAUGUUGGUAAACUUGUAUUAAGUGGAAAGUGGUUUUACUUCUUCCCCUGCAGGUUUUACAAUUAUUAAAAUACAGAGGUUAUAAUGUAAUUUAUUUAAAUCUGUUCUGAGGAACAUAGAAUAAAAUAUUCAAAAUGACUCAGACCUGCUGAGGUUUUGAGGAUCCUUUCAGAAGGAUUUCUAAGUGUCUGAAUGAAUCCAGGAAGAUGAAGCAUCAGAAAUACACUUCUUAAAUAAUGAGCUUGUAAUUGCAGCUUUUAUGUACUAGGAGCAGGCUUUUUGGUCAUUUGCUCUCCUUAGCUGAGAUGGAAACUGCCUCCCCUUAAUUCACUUUUACUCUACCGUGGAAGAUAGUUCACACAGAGCACUGGGGCUCCGCUUGCUUAAAUGGUGAGGCUAUUACAGCAAACUGGAUCAACAAACAUUUUGGUUUUCGUUAGAGUAGUUCUGAUUUCAGAUGCCUAAUUUGCCAAACCAGAGACCAAGAUCAAAAUUUAUUGCUGGUGUAAGCAGAUGUAAAUCCAUUGGUCUGAAAAGGUUAAAGAUAUUGGAAAUUAUCCCAGUACAAUCUUGGAACAUCAGAACUCCUUUUGCAUCACAUUUCUUUGAAACCCAGCCCUUCUUCUCCACCCCCUAAAAAAAAGCAGAGGUCACGCAAGCCUUCCAAAUAGACAAAUUCUCAGAGCUAGGUCAGGAGAGGAUUUCAGGCUGAUGAAGAAAAAUAAUGGGGCUUCCUUCUCUCCAUCCAGCUUCUACCUUCGCGGAGCAGAGCCAGGGUGGCUCAUUGUCCCCGGGGUGCUGGGGCUUGUGUGGCACCUUUCAUCCCCUGGUUCCAAGUAUUUUAAGCAGCAAUGACAUCUCAGAGCAUGCCUGUAAGAUGGUGGCACCUCUGCACAAUCUUUUUUCCACAAAGGGGAAAGAGUAUAGAGGACUGAUGGGACUUUUGCAUGAUUAUGUGUAUUUGGUGCAGCACGAGAUAGGUAAGCUAAUACAUACCCUUUGGCUAAUUAGGACCAAAUGGUUGUGCAUUUGUAGUGAUUGCGCAUACAUCUUUUGUGCGCGGUUUUGUGUCUAAAAAUUCAAAAAAUUAUGUCUUAAGUCUCCUGUUGAAAGUAGCACUACUCACGGCUUUGCUAAAGACGUUCUGUGAGUCCUGCCCCAAACAGCAAUAUAUCUGACUUGAAUCCUGCCUGCUUUUUGAAUCUCUACCCGACCUGUGAUGGUUCUCAUGUAACUUUUUUAUCUCCUUAUUUUUCUUCUCUCUGCUCCACCGCCUGUGAAUAGGCUGGAUCUGUUGCUAUGGAGGAAGGUCCAGUCACUGUGUGCAGGUCACUUCUGCGAUACCCUGCUGCUUGUUCUGGCAGAACGCUGCUUCUGUACAGGGUGAAACCCUUCACCUCACCUGUAGGUUAGAAAUUAUUCAAAAGUAGAGUGGUGAGAAAUGUAUUAGUGUGAUCCUUUCCAAACCCGAAGGCUUGAAUCCAGUUUUGAUUAGAAGAUGGUGAGCUAAUUUCUUGGAAAGAUAAAUUUGGUUGCAGUCCUCCCUCCUAAUACCCUUCUGUAGCUGCUGGCCCAGAGUGGCUCCUUAGUCGUACAUCUAGCUGAAUGUGACCCAGCACCUUUCUGUCUCCAUCAGAAGCUGAAAACAUGUUUCGAUGUAGAUGAAAAUAGUGUUUCCAUUUCAUCUGCAGGCUCCAGUCUGGCAUGCCUGUGACUGGAAUUAAGAAGGUUUCUCAGAGCCACGAAUGCUUGCCUGGCUGUUCGCGGGGGCAAACAGCUAUCAGCUUAUUACCUGGCCAUAAAAAUACAUUUCCUACAUAGAAUGUGUCAAAUCCUUUUCCUGGGGUGACAGUAACUGCUAAGAGGAUUGUCAGUCUGGGAUAGACAAACUUGAAACGGUGCUGGAGUAGUGUUUAGCUUAGUUUUUUCCUUUUUUUUUUGUUUUAAAAAGGGGGAAAUUUAACGCUGGAAAACUGAACCAGCUUUGCAGUUUGGGAUAUUGCAACUCGUUAAUCAAUGGGCAGGUUCACCAAUAGCUUGAGAAAAUCAAACUUCCUUCUGUGAUCUCUUCUCAGCGUAGCUCAGCCCCAAGUUGGAGAGAAACCUGAUGGUGCAAAAGAAUCAGAAAGUGACUUUUAAGCUGUUCAACUCCCUCAGUCCUUGACAUCCCCAAAGAUAAUACCAAGAGCCAGUUACAGGACUGUCUCAUCCUGACAUGAGUACUGCUGUAAGAAAUACCCGUUCUUUUCCUAUUGCCCAAGGAAACAUUUGGUUCUCCUGAAGCGUUGUAAGGGCUGACAGGAAAGGCUUUGCUUUUAUUUCUUAUUUUUGAACAUAAAUUCCAGUAUCCUCAGCCUUAGCUGUCUUUUUCUCACUUCAGUCCUGGACAGCAUAGAUCAUGCUUAUUCUUUUCAGCUCUUGGCAGCACCAGCACUUUUCUAAAGCAGCUCCCUCCUCUUAACUAACCUGGAGUGGAGCACGGAAGAAAAUUUGUGCAGUGCUCAAAUUGAGGAGAGGGAUAACAAGGACAGGACUGGAGGUAAGCAGCAGACUUCUGCCAGUGAGGCGGCACUUGGGCAGCAUGAGCACUGCCCAGCUAAGGGCUGGGAGUGAGGAGACCUUCUCCGUCCUGUUUUCUGCAAGCAGCAGGGAUGCUGCGAGGUAGGGAAGCUAACACUGCAGCUGUAAGAUGGACUGGUAUUUUGGAGCAGCUGCAUUUAAUUGGACUAUGCAGAAGGCUCCCUGUAGACCUUCAUUGUUCUUGCACUUCUGACAGGAAUGGUCUAAAUGUGGAAAGGAGGGUGGGGGGAGAAGAGGGGUGAUACAGGAUUGCUGCUGUACCCACUGACUGGUCAGUGCUCUAUGUCCGCCCCCAUUUCAGUAACAACGGGAUGUUACUUUUAACUAAACAUUUAGUUUAAGGCUUUAGUGGUUUUGAGGCACUGAUGGAUAAUGAUAGUGGAGAGAAAAAGGCACCUUUUUUCAGUCACAAGGUAGUUAGGAGAUGUUGUGUCUUCCUCUCUACCUGCUCAGGAACAAGAUCAUGAGUUAGGCAGGUGGCCGGACUGAAGGAGGUCACUUUGAUUGUCUCCUUGGCUCAUGGUCAGUUGAGAUGGUUUACCCACAACCCUGUUAAACUGCCGGAGACACAGUCCUUAAGGUUAUGGUAUAUCUCUGCUGGGGCCUCUCUUCAACAGGUUCCAAGAUGGCCCUUGUUUGAAAAACCAUUAAUAAAUGAAAGUACUUGUCUCUUUCUGUCCUCAAAACUCUUUCUUCCCUCAGUAUCUCCUGGGUCAUAUAUGGGAUGUGCUGUUCUAAGCCCAGAUUCACAUUUCAAUAUAAUUAGAAUGUCAUCCCUAUCUCUGCUGUAAUUAAAUAACAAGCCAAGCAUGGGCAGAUAGGAGACUUAAUGCUGCUGGGCUGCCAGCUUUGGAGAGGAGAUCCAGGUAAUUUGUUUUAACAGGACAGUUUAUUACCAGCUUUUCUUCUCCUUAGACAGAUUAGCGCUUAUUUUCUCCUGCCUGUUAAUGACAACAACAACAACAAAAUAAUUGUGAAUUAAAAGCUGUUUCCUGCAGUUUGUUUAAAAAUACACUUUUGACCACAGCCAGCGUAGGCAGCAGUUGUCUUAUUGGACUAGUCGAAGGGGUGGUGUCCCUCUGAAGCAGGUGCAUUGCUGCUUGAGGAUUUUGGGCAUUGGGUCAUGUAAUGACUCCCCCCUUUUUUUUUAAUAGCUGAGUCUGAGAGAACUGGGAAGCUUCUGCCUUUCACUGGGUUCAGUUCCUGCUGCCUCAUUGCCCUGUUCUUCCCUCCCUUCCAUCCCCCCAAAUCUCUAGAUGCCUCCUGCUUCCCUUUCUGCCAGCUGGGAGAGUGAGGCUGUGAGAACCGCUAGACCCAGCUGUGCUCGGGAGCUCCCCAACAUUUCCCACUCCUCCGAGACCCUGUGGAUACCUGCACCGGCCCUGCAUCAGAAACGCUGAGGCUCUGCAUCACGCCUGGCCUGCGACGUAGGGGACGUCUCACUGGACUGAAACGCUGCGCAGUGAGGGCUCAAACUGGCCGGGGGCCAGCGGGAGCCCGAGGGCAGGCGGCUUGGGGGUUUGACCAGCACCAUGCAGCUUCUGAUGGGUGCCCAGAGCGCCAUAGCAAGCGGGACGGUGAAUCGGGACCAGUGUGGAAUAGCACCUGGGUGAUGUGGAUAGCAGGCAGAGCUGUGGGUCUGGAGACGAGUCCAUUGGCAGAGAAUAAUGCAGUCAUGAAGGUUUAGCACAAAGACAAAAGAAGGGACUUUGACAGCAGAGAAGAUGUCUUGCCUUUAGAGAUGGGGGAUGGUUAGACAGGGAGAGGUGGGUGGAGGAGGAGAAAGCACAAAAAAGCCAAAAAGCUUUAGAACAGGGACAGGAGGGUGGGGUCUUUAAAUAGACAUUUGGAGCUAAAGAACAUCAUUACAUACCUGUUCACUCUGCAUCCAGGCAGAUUCCCAAUGUGUCAGCCACUACAGAGUCUGUUCAGUGCGAGAAAUUUUGAGGCUGGGAAGUGCUCUAGACCGUGUUUACACCCUGAACAGUUUGGAUGUGAGGCAAUUUAAGACUCAGAGGUAGGGUUCUGGCCCAACUUUAACAACAAUGCAAAUGUAGCUGUGAUUUAACUGGUGGCAGUGUAAGUUAUGGAAGUGUUGAAAAGCCUAUGCCAUACAUUAAAAUACAUAACAGAGCUGUUGAUGUUGAAAUACUUUUCUUCUUCCUUAGACCAUACUUGCCUACAACCAAUGAAAUAUUGAUGAGUAUUUCAGCACAGAAAAAGACUAUUAACUUUUGGCUUUAGCUGACUUAGCUAAGAAUUUGAGGGCUGUGGCAGCUCCGUAAAGAAUUCUCUGCCAUCAGUUCACUCCUCCUCACAUGAACAAUACCCCAAACUCAUUUCUCUCUCUGGUCUCAGCUGCAGCAUUUUGGCACAGGGAAAGGGCACCUACUGCUGCCAAAGAACUCGGUGCUUUACGGAUGAAAACCAAACAUCUUGAAUUCCACCUGGAGCCUGCUGGCAGUGAAUGGAGGGCCCAUAGCAGUUAUGUGGUGUUUUCUCACAGUGACACGUGACUUGACCUUUAACAACCUGAGCUUAGUGAGAGAAACAAACUGCCAGAGGAAGCAAUUAGCUGAAAUUUAACUGAAACCAAAAUCUCACCCAGUGACGUGAAUGAAUCCCGAGUGGUUCUUGCCUGGGAAGGAGUUUCAGCAAGUGGAGAUCAAGCUGCUUUUCAGCCUGCAUGCUCUCAGGUUUUAUGUCCCUUGUCAGAUGCCAGCUGUCGCCCUGUUUUCCUCAAAAAAGGCUCCACCAGCCUAAACUUGGCCCAAGGUCCUCCCUGCAUUAAGAACAGGGGAGGGGAAACACCAAAGGUGCUUUUUAGUUUCAAAGCUUGCUUGGACAAAGCUGUCUUCAUACACUGGUAAUGUGAUGCCAGAACCACAGCCUGAAGACCUGUUUCAGAUUGCAUGUGUGAAAAGGAGAAGGGACAAUACUUACAAGUUCAAGAGAAGACAAAAAGAUAAACUGUCUGAAGUAGUAAAAUUAAAUGGAUCCAAGUUGCAGCUGCCUCUGUCGCUCUAAACAAGAGAAACCCUGUUUCUUGUGGUGAGGGGGGCUGGUGUUAUUCAUACUGCUAGUAAUAGUGAGCAGGGUAACAGAUCACCAAUACUCCUUUUCCUGGAGCACCUUUCUCUUCUGCUGUUCUGGUCCCUCCAAACAGUUUCUGCCUCCAGUAUUAAUAAUAUUAGGCUCUAAGUCGUGCCAGAGGUUUCCUUGAAGUCAGCAGGUUCCAAUAUUAUUUGUACUCUCGGGGCAAAGGACCGUCACAACUGAUGUGUUAGGUGGUUGUUAUGCUCUGGAUUUUGCUCUCAUGAGUUACGACUUCUCCAGCUACAAAAGCUGUGCGAUAGCAGAGACUUGGGGUUAUGGCUACAGCAGCAACAGUGUGGUAGCACGCAAUAAUACCGCAGUCUGCAGCGCUUGUAGCACAAUAUAAUGGGACAAAACCAGUCCUACACCACCUGAUCCAUUACUGAAAGAUGGUUGUUUUCAUUAAAAAUCACUAAAUGCCACUUUUGAUAUGCUGCUGUUAUGCACCUGAGUCCAGUUCUGACCAGCUCUGCAGAACAGCAAGCUCCUUUUUGUAGAGCAGGGUUUUCAACUUCAGAGCAUGUUCGUUUCUGCAAAGCUGCUGCCUGUGCUUUUUCCUGACGUAGAAAAACGCUUCUCAGAUCAACCGACUUCCUCGCAAGGACUGAUAGCUGCUGCUGUUUUCCCCAAGACAGGAACACUGUAGUUGCACAUUUUUGCCAUUUACUCGACAUCGCCUCAGUGGCAAAAAUCUCUUUGUCAUCAACUUGAUGUGUGAGCGCGUAUCAUAUACGCAUGCCACUUGGCAAUGCCUAUAAUUGAGGGACCUCUGGCUUCCACCGAGUGUAAUUUUCUGCUUUCCCAAGGCAAGGAUGGAUGCAGGUGCCGUCCUCCCGCUCCCCAUGCUGAAAGCAACACCUAGGGGAAUACAGUCUGCUCAAGUACAGUGUGCUGUGGAAAGCGUUUGUAGGCUUAAGUGCUUUGCCUCAGCUUCUCCUAGAUCUCAAAAAUACUGUAUUUUGUAGGUACAUAAAGUUAUUUCUCUCUCUAUAUAUGUCUGAUUUUCUAUGUUAUAUAGCGAGAUGCUGGUGAUCUGUUAACCACCGUAGAUGAUAAUAAGAGGGAGGACAUUUAUCCUUGGUGAGAGAAACAGGAUUUCUCUCGUUUGGAGCUGGAGGCAGCUUUGAGUUAGAUCCGUGCCUUGCUGCUUCUCUCUUCAUUUGUUUACAAUUUGCUGUUUAACUUCAGCCACGAUUCCUUCUGUACUGGGACGCUUGCCUCAAAGAAAAUGACUAAAAUGAACCCAGCUGUACCCCUGGGUCAGGCAGCUUCUCCCCGAGCUGUCCUUCUUUGGAGACUGACCCUGCAAAACCAGCCGGCAGGAGUGCUGGGGCCGGCUAUCGUGUCGGGAGAGCACGUUUCCAAACCUGAACGGUGACCGAUGGUGACGCUUCGCUUUGCUCAGAGGCGCGUCACUCUCUCACUGAAGCCUGGUUUCCUUUACGUUCAUUCUCAGGGCUUUUUAUUGUUGCUCAGUUUUUGGCAUUUUUUAACUUUACGCAUGCUGCGCUACAGGGAGACACCUCCAGUCCCUUCUGCUUUUACAUCAGUUUUGGUAAUUAAAGGUGGUAAUUAAAAGCAGCUCUUCUCCUGCAGGCUGGAGUAACGCCUUUGUCCCACAGGCCGUGCCUAAAAGCCAGGCUCUCCCUUACAGCAGAGCCCAGCGUCCUCUUCGGCUUUUCCCGAUGCUUUUCUUUUUUUUCGGCCUGCAGUUUCACCUUCGUGCCCCGCUGACA